GUUGAUCCUGCCGGAGGCUAUUGCUAUCCGAAUCCGACUAAGCCAUGCUAGUUUUGGAAUCAAUUUUGGUUCCAGGGCGGAAAGCUCAGUAAUAUGUGGUUAAUCUGCCCUUAGGUUCAGGAUAAUCUUGGGAAACUGAGGCUAAUACUGGAUAGGCAAGGGACGCUGGAAUGCCCCCUUGCUUAAAGAUUUAUCGCCUAAGGAUGGGACUGCAGCAGAUUAGGUUUUUAUGAGAGUAAUGUCCUCAUAAGCCGAUAAUCUGUACGGGCUUUGAGAGAAGAAACCCGGAGAUGGAUUCUGAGACAAGAAUCCAGGCCCUACGGGGCGCAGCAGGCGCGAAACAUUCCCAAUGACCGCAAGGUUGAGGAUGGGAUUCGGAGUGCUACUUCUUUAAGGAGUAGCUUUUGUUAAGUUUAAACCGCUUAUCGAAUAAGUGGUGGGUAAGACGGGUGCCAGCCGCCGCGGUAAUACCCGCGCCACAAGUGAUAGUCUCGAUUAUUGGGUUUAAAGCGUCCGUAGCCGGUUCGUUAAGUUCUUAGUGAAAUACCAUAGCUAACUAUGGUGCUUGCUAGGGGUACUGACAGGCUAGAGAACGGGAGAAGUCUGGGGUAUUCCUGGGGUAAGGGUAAAAUCCUGUAAUCCUAGGAGGACCACCUGUGGCGAAGGCGCCAGACUAGAACGAUUCUGACGGUGAGGGACGAAAGCUUGGGGAGCAAAGGGGAUUAGAUACCCCCGUAGUCCUAGCUGUAAACGAUGCCCACUAGUUGUUGGAGUUCUUACGGGGGACUUCAAUGUCGUAGCGAAAGCGUUAAGUGGGCCACCUGGGGAGUACGGUCGCAAGGCUGAAACUUAAGGGAAUUGGCGGGGGAGCACACAAGGGGUGGAGGCUACGGUUUAAUUCGAUUCAACGCGAGGAACCUUACCAGAAGCGACAGCAGAAUGAAGGUCAGGCUGAAGGUCUUACCAGACAAGCUGAGAGGUGUUGCAUGGCCGUCGCCAGUUCGUGCCGUGAGGUGUCCUGUUAAGUCAGGUAACGAACAAGACCCGCGCCCUAUGUUGCUAGGACAUUUUUAUGUCUGCACUCAUAGGGAACCGCUGGUGAUAAGCCAGAGGAAGGUGCGGUCGACGGCAGGUCAGUAUGGCCUGAAUCUUCUGGGUUACACGCGGCCUACAAUGGACGGAAUAAUGGGACGCGACCCCGAAAGGGGGAGCUAAUCUUUAAAUCCGUUCCCAAUCCGAAUUGAGGGCUGCAACCCGCCCUCAUGAAGUCGAAAUCCCUAGUAGUCGCUGGUCAUCAUCUAGCGGCGAAUAAGUUCUUGCUCCUUGCACACACUGCCCGUCAAGCCAUCCGAGUGGAGUUUCGGUGAUGCUUUGGUUUUUGCCAGAGUCGAGCCGCGGUUUCGCAAGGAGGGCUAAGUCGUAACAAGGUA
rnacentral:rRNA from 1 species